UGGUUUCCGUGGCCUAGUGGUUACAGCAUCCGCCUCAGAAGCGGGAGGUCGUGGGUUCGAUCCCCGGUCGAGUCAU